CCACCUGACAGAGGCCCGGGCGCUCGAUGCACCUUCCGCCCGCAUGAGGAGGAGAGGCCGGUAGAGGACUGUGAACCAAAAGUUGUCCCCCAGGAUGGACUUCACCGCGCAGCCCAAGCCUGCCACUGCCCUCUGUGGCGUCGUGAGUAGCGACGGGAAGAUCGCUUACCCUCCGGGGGUAAAAGAGAUCACCGACAAGAUCACCACGGACGAGAUGAUCAAACGCCUGAAGGUAAGUGUCUGGACGGAUUUUGAUGUCUUUGGUAGAAGGCGCUUUCUCUUGUGAUACUGCUACCCUGCUCAGUCUGGCCUUUAGAGUUCCAAGUUUUUUAGAUCUCUUACCCCCUCUGAAAGGUACUGUUGUAUCUCAGAUAACAUCUUUGAGUUUUGUAGGGAUAUAACCAUUGUGGGAAAUUUAAAAGGAGUGUGAUUUUUCAAAAACUUAAUGGUUUUCAAGCAUAAGAAUUUGUGUUUUUAGAGUUUUUUCUGGAGGUAUUUGAUGAGAAUACUGUUCAGAGUGGCUUGCAAACUUAGGUGUAGGCAGUAAUUUGCCUA
rnacentral:sRNA from 1 species